UACGGAGGGUGCAAGCGUUACUCGGAAUCACUGGGCGUAAAGGACGCGUAGGCGGGUUGGAAAGUCAGGUGUGAAAUCCUACAGCUUAACUGUAGAACUGCACUUGAAACUUCUAAUCUAGAGUAUGGGAGGGGGAGAUGGAAUUAGUGGUGUAGGGGUAAAAUCCGUAGAUAUCACUAGGAAUACCUAAAGCGAAGGCGAUCUCCUGGAACAUAACUGACGCUAAGGCGUGAAAGCGUGGGGAGCAAACAGG
rnacentral:rRNA from 1 species